AAGACUGGCUUUAGGAGUUAUUAUUUCUAUAAAAUUUGCUGUUACUAGAGACGUUUCUGUGUGGAGUCCUUGAAAUCUGAAAUCCAGGAGGAAGUACGUUCUCCUCCGAGUGUCAAGUCAGCUCUUGGUGCUGCUAAUUGCCAUUUGCCGCUGAUGACUGUUCAUUUCCUCAGGAGGAGUACGAGGGAGGGGACUGUUUCUGAGUGGU
rnacentral:snoRNA from 1 species